rnacentral:rRNA from 1 species
CCCUGGUAGUCCACGCAGUAAACGAUGAUAACUCGUUGUCGGCGAUACAGUGUCGGUGACUAAGCGAAAGCGAUAAGUUAUCCACCUGGGGAGUACGUUCGCAAGAAUGAAACUCAAAGGAAUUGACGGGGGCCCGCACAAGCGGAGGAACAUGUGGUUUAAUUCGAUGAUACGCGAGGAACCUUACCCGGGCUUGAAAGUUAGUGACGGAUCUUGAAAGAGGUCUUCCCUUCGGGGCACGAAACUAGGUGCUGCAUGGUUGUCGUCAGCUCGUGCCGUGAGGUGUCGGGUUAAGUCCCAUAACGAGCGCAACCCCUACCGUUAGUUGCCAGCAGGUCAAGCUGGGCACUCUGACGGGACUGCCGGUGUAAGCCGAGAGGAAGGUGGGGAUGACGUCAAAUCAGCACGGCCCUUACGUCCGGGGCUACACACGUGUUACAAUGGCAGGUACAGAGGGCAGCUACCCAGCGAUGGGAUGCGAAUCUCGAAAGCCUGUCUCAGUUCGGAUUGGAGGCUGAAACCCGCCUCCAUGAAGUUGGAUUCGCUAGUAAUCGCGCAUCAGCCAUGGCGCGGUGAAUACGUUCCCGGGCCUUGUACACACCGCCCGUCAAGCCAUGGAAGCUGGGGGUGCCUGAAGUUCGUGACCGGAAGGAGCGACCUAGGGCAAAACCGGUGACUGGGGCUAAGUCGUAACAAGGUAGCCGUACCGGAAGGUGCGGUUGGAUCACCUC